rnacentral:rRNA from 1 species
UGCUUAUAGCAUAGAUAUAAUGCACUCGAUCCCAUUAUAACUCUGUAGUUAAGCACACUCUGGCUAGAGUAGCACUGAGAUGGGUGGUUGCUUGGAAAUUUCUAGUGUUAUACAUGC